rnacentral:pre_miRNA from 7 species
ACCUAAGAGUGUAAGACCUCCUUUCGGGGACCCCCACUCUAGUCUCAGGAGAGAGAGCACACCCAAAGAAACAUGACAAUCC